rnacentral:lncRNA from 1 species
CUGAAAUGCUUCAUGCUCCUUUAUUUACUCAUUUUUUUAUUAUUUCAGCCAUGUCAUCCCAGCUGCUUCACACAGAUUAGAUUAUAUAAGAAAGCAUUUCACUGAAUCCUUAGCACUUCCUGUGCUUUGCAGUCUCUUGAAGUUCAUGAGGGGAACUGAGACAAGGACAAGAUUGAGAAGGAGAGGAGAAAAAGUCCGGAUCAAAGACCCCAUGAAAGCAUGCAUGAGAAACUGAUGAGCAUGGAUGGAGAAACAGAGAUGAAGAAGAGACAAAAAUGGGAAACUCAGAAAUGGACAUGGAGAAAGCUGUGGAGUGAAAGAAUGGCAACCCUGUGGGAAGAACCUAAGUAUAUGACCACAAGCAAAAAUGUCUUUCAAUUGUGGGUGUUCAUAUACAGUUUGUGAAAUUCAAACUUGUUUUUCCUCAUAAUGUCUCUACUAUAGAGAAAAGUUAUGAUUUUUCAAAGAAAUCUCGUGCAAUUAAAGCAGCGACUGAUGCAUGUCCUUGGCUAUCAUAGGUAUGCAAUAUUAUCAAAAGAGAGUGGGAGAAAUAACUAGUUUAUGUAUUGUCCUGUAACAUAAAUUAGCAAAAUACUUUUAUGGCAUGUAGGAAAAUGUACAGAGAGAUCCAGGGAAAGCAUCUCUUAAAUUACCAGUUUACUUUCUAGUUUUGAUAGAUUAUGUUAUGCUAUUUUCAAUUCCAGUUGUUCCCAGUUCUUUUUCUUAGCCUGCCCUGUUGGGUGAUAUGAAAACUACAAAAAACUGUACAGUGAUGAUUUACUGUAGGUAGCACAGAGAUACAGCUUUAAAAAAGAAAAGCAAAAGCAAAAAGAACUGGCUAUUUCUGUCUAUUUCUGUGUAUCUUGUUUUCUCAUUCUAUUAGCUGAAUGUUAAUGUUUAAAAAGGAGCAAGAGUUUAUGUUCAGAAUCUCUGCUCUCGGAUGCAUACUCCGAGAAAUUAUCAUGUUAACCCAUUUGAAACAAAAGUCGUUUUAAAGCUCAGUCAUAUGGUACAUGGCAGUUGAGAGUUGUGAAAGAGACCACCAAGUGUACACAUAUGGUCAACAUAAGCGUAUCAGGCUUUAGGAUGCUCUUCUUUCCACUAACUGCCAUCAACAAUGUUUUUAAUUUUUAAGUUCCCGUCUGUGGGUGUGGGACGAUGCUGGGGUUUGGAAGUUGUUAACUCACUUGUCUACCAUUGGUUUCUGUGUUGCCAUAGUUAUUAUAUUGUCUCCUUGCACUGGCUAGCCAAAUGGCCAAUCCCCUCUUUGGCCCAGCAGCCCUUAUAAGCUGCGGGAAAUUUGAAUAAAGUCUCUUCUUCACUACUGGAUUCCC